rnacentral:rRNA from 1 species
UACACUCCUACGGGAGGCAGCAGUGGGGAAUAUUGGACAAUGGGCGCAAGCCUGAUCCAGCCAUGCCGCGUGAGUGAUGAAGGCCCUAGGGUUGUAAAGCUCUUUCACCGGUGAAGAUAAUGACGGUAACCGGAGAAGAAGCCCCGGCUAACUUCGUGCCAGCAGCCGCGGUAAUACGAAGGGGGCUAGCGUUGUUCGGAUUUACUGGGCGUAAAGCGCACGUAGGCGGACUAUUAAGUCAGGGGUGAAAUCCCGGGGCUCAACCCCGGAACUGCCUUUGAUACUGGUAGUCUUGAGUUCGAGAGAGGUGAGUGGAAUUCCGAGUGUAGAGGUGAAAUUCGUAGAUAUUCGGAGGAACACCAGUGGCGAAGGCGGCUCACUGGCUCGAUACUGACGCUGAGGUGCGAAAGCGUGGGGAGCGAACAGGAUUAGAUACCCCAGUAGUCCCAUGAU